ensembl:ribozyme
AGAGGACCCACGUUCCAAGGCCGUAGCAGAAAUGUUCACGGCGCAGCCUGUCAGAUUCCAAUGAACCUGCUAAUUCUGCU